GGAGGAGAAAUUGCCAAGGAAUGACACGAUCACUCCCGCUGAGCGAGUGGACACAGAGCCACGGGGCUGUCGUGUCUGUCCUGAGCUUUUUCCAAGA
ensembl:miRNA